rnacentral:rRNA from 1 species
AGGACGAACGCUGGCGGCGUGCUUAACACAUGCAAGUCGAACGAUGAACCACUUCGGUGGGGAUUAGUGGCGAACGGGUGAGUAACACGUGGGCAAUCUGCCCUUCACUCUGGGACAAGCCCUGGAAACGGGGUCUAAUACCGGAUACCACUCUCACGGGCAUCUGUGGGGGUUGAAAGCUCCGGCGGUGAAGGAUGAGCCCGCGGCCUAUCAGCUUGUUGGUGAGGUAAUGGCUCACCAAGGCGACGACGGGUA